GAGUUUGAUCAUGGUUCAGGACGAACGCUGGCGGCGUGCUUAACACAUGCAAGUCGAGCGGUAAGGCCCUUCGGGGUACACGAGCGGCGAACGGGUGAGUAACACGUGGGUGAUCUGCCCUGCACUUCGGGAUAAGCCUGGGAAACUGGGUCUAAUACCGGAUAUGACCUUCGGCUGCAUGGCUGAGGGUGGAAAGGUUUACUGGUGCAGGAUGAGCCCGCGGCCUAUCAGCUUGUUGGUGGGGUAAUGGCCUACCAAGGCGACGACGGGUAGCCGACCUGAGAGGGUGACCGGCCACACUGGGACUGAGACACGGCCCAGACCCCUACGGGAGGCAGCAGUGGGGAAUAUUGCACAAUGGGCGAAAGCCUGAUGCAGCGACGCCGCGUGAGGGAUGACGGCCUUCGGGUUGUAAACCUCUUUCAGCAGGGACGAAGCGAAAGUGACGGUACUUGCAGAUGAAGCACCGGCCUAACUACGUG
rnacentral:rRNA from 2 species